ACGGAAGGCAGCAGUGGGGGAUAUUGCACAAUGGGGGAAACCCCGAUGCAGCGACGCCGCGUGAGUGAUGAAGUAUUUCGGUAUGUAAAGCUCUAUCGGCAGGGAAGAUAAUGACGGUACCUGACUAAGAAGCACCGGCCAAAUACGUGCCAGCAGCCGCGGUAAUACGUAUGGUGCAAGCGUUAUCCGGAUUUACUGGGUGUACAGGGAGCGUAGACGGCAAGGCAAGCCAGAUGUGAAAGGCUGGGGCUCAACCCCGGGACUGCAUUUGGAACUGUCUAGCUAGAGUAUCGGAGAGGUAAGUGGAAUUCCUAGUGUAGCGGUGAAAUGCGUAGACAUUAGGAGGAACACCAGUGGCGAAGGCGGCUUACUGGACGAUAACUGACGUUGAGGCUCGAAAGCGUGGGGAGCAAACAGGAUUAGAUACCCUGGUA
rnacentral:rRNA from 1 species